AGCAACACCUGAGGUCGACAUUCAGAGACAAUAAUCGAUCGAUGCACAUCAUGUACCAUCGAUCGACAGCGAAGCGUGCAGAGACCCAGUUUGGUUUCAGCCGACUUAAAGCCCAAGAAAACACCAAAUUACAAGAUUGCCAUUGGCGAGUUUUUAACCUAAUAUAUAUAGCUUGCCAAUUGUUUAAGGCAAAGAAGGCUUUCUUGUUCUCUUGUUUUCUAGUUUUCAUACCUAAGAUUUAGUAGAGUUGGAGAGAAGAUCCAAGACUCAUUCAACGAUUUGUGAUUGGAACUUCAUUAUUAUUACAUAUAUAUCUAUGCAGUUUUCUUUAUACUUUGUUGUUAUGAAUUGCUUAGCCAUGUCUGAGUAGUUCUAUCGUUAGGUUUAGGGUUUAAAUAUGUUAUGAAGGAUUAGCCCCAACUA
rnacentral:lncRNA from 1 species